CAGCCGCCGCGGGAAUACGAAGGGUGCAAGCGUUAAUCGGAAUUACUGGGCGUAAAGCGUGCGUAGGCGGAUUGUUAAGUCUGUUGUGAAAUCCCCGGGCUCAACCUGGGAAUGGCAAUGGAUACUGGCAAGCUAGAGUGUGUCAGAGGAUGGUGGAAUUCCCGGUGUAGCGGUGAAAUGCGUAGAGAUCGGGAGGAACAUCAGUGGCGAAGGCGGCCAUCUGGGACAACACUGACGCUGAGGCACGAAAGCGUGGGGAGCAAACAGGAUUAGAUACCCCCGUAGUCCCUGUCUCUUAUAC
rnacentral:rRNA from 1 species